UACGAAGGGGGCUAGCGUUGCUCGGAAUCACUGGGCGUAAAGCGCACGUAGGCGGCUUUCUAAGUCAGGGGUGAAAUCCUGGAGCUCAACUCCAGAACUGCCUUUGAUACUGGGAAGCUUGAGUCCGGAAGAGGUGAGUGGAACUGCGAGUGUAGAGGUGAAAUUCGUAGAUAUUCGCAAGAACACCAGUGGCGAAGGCGGCUCACUGGUCCGGUACUGACGCCGAGGUGCGAAAGCGUGGGGAGCAAACAGG
rnacentral:rRNA from 1 species